rnacentral:lncRNA from 1 species
CUUUUUCAUCCUGGUCCAGUUCUGCUAUUAAUUUUCCUCUGCAACAGCAAUGCAAUUUCUGUCUGAACUUUCAUAUAUUCUUGUGCCAUUUUGCAGUGCUGUUCAAACACAGCCAUAGAUUCUUUGGAGUUCGGGCAUGGUGCUAGAGGCUGUAACUGAUGAUCUAAUGUAAGAUAUGCCAUUGGGAUGGAGUUAUCUGACCCAUUGGUCUCUGCAUCAUCAGGUGUCCAUGGAUUACGAGUUGGCUUUUCAGAGGUUGGUCCCGAGGUAGUGAUCAUUCUCACACUAGGACUAGAUGAUCUACUGCUGUUUCUACUCUCCUGACUGGACUCUGUUCCAGCAACAGUAAGAUCUUGAAUGGAUCUGCGCCUCUGCUGUCCGUUU